GUUUUAGCUUUCCGGCUGGUUUCGGUCAAAAAGGAGGAGGUAGCGCCAAACCAAACCCCCGAUGAAAGAUAAAAGCUAUGUCGGCGGGAGUUCUCUGUAGUCUGUAGUCGCUCUAAAAUUCUCAGUUCAUUGAUUCCAAAUUCCACCUAUUAUGCUUUAACCUCUUCAAUCGGUUCACGUAUGUAAGAAUUCACCUCAAUUUCAUCUCAUAUAUGCAUAUAAUUUGCUUUUAUGUAGAGUAAUUAGUGUUUUGUUUUGGAUUAUGAUUGAGUGGUAUGUUUUAAUUCUGCUUGCAUGAAUUAAAGAUGCUGAAUUUUUAUUUUUUUUGUUGUGGGUUUGAUUUUUUUGAUUAGAUCGAUCAUAUUUUGGAGAGGAAAUGCCCUGUUUUGAUUGGGUUGGAUGCUGAUUGUAUACUGUUUGGGCUGAGAAACAACAAUUUGUUUCGCUUUUUUCGAUUGGGAUAUUGAGAUGGAUUUGGUUUCUAGUUGCAAGGUAUUUGAUUUCCUCAGUUACUGCACUUAUAUGCUUUUUUAGUUGGUUAUAAGAUUAAGAGGCAUGCCCUUGUUGCUACAGUAAACUUGUUCAAUAUUACAGUUUGUAGAUUCUUUUUAGCUGAACAACUUAGUUUUUUGAAAUUACACUUUUGUUUUCGCUUAAACUAUUUUUAUUUAAGAUUACUAGUUGGAGUUGGCUGAAAUUAUUAGUUGUCUGAUUGGUUGAGUAAAAUGACUACUGUGCACUGAUAUGCAAUGAGAGCUUUUAUUAAAGAGUUUCUUAUUUCCAAGUGGGUUUUGAUUCGUUGUAGAAUCCAGUGUUGAGGGAGUUUAUUUUCGUUGUUCAAUUGUAAUGUGUACACCCUAUGGAUUCAUUGCAGAUUUAUGUUGAUUGAGUGUAUUUUUUUUGUUUAAUUGUAAUGCGCGAUGAUAUGAGUGUAUUUUUUUCGGUUAACUGUAACGCAUGAUAAUCUAGUAACGUUCUUGAAGCUUAAGGUAAGUUUGAUUUUUAUGGAGCCAAACAUAUGUUGAGGCAGUUCCAUGUAUAUCAAAAUUCAUGUUGGUUCGGGUUUGGCAAUUAAUUUCUCUUUUCCACUAAUAUUAAAGUCCAAGUUUCUAUUUCCUAAUGCUUGGCUUUGGAAGGGUGAAAAGUUCUGUUGGAAGUGAGCAAUCAUAUCUGUUUUUUAGGAUCUAGAGCGUACUGUUCGGCUUUUUGGAAAUGGCUAUUUAUCUUUCACUUUGUUGCGGGAUAUGAUCUUUUUCUCCACUUCUUUAUAGGCCUCUUCUAUGGGUGCUUUUAGGGAAUUUCUGAUCUUCAUAGAUAUUGGAGAGCUGCUUGUUUUUAUUAUUUUAAUUUUUUCACUUCUUAUAGUGGUGGACUGCACUUGUAUUUUCUCUUUUUCGUCUAAUAAAAUUUCUUCUUUUAUCAAUUUUUUCUCUAUUUCUUAAUUGGCUUAUUAACAAUCAAUUAAAUGCAUUUCUGUGUUUUCCUUCUUGAAUAUUUUGAAAAUGGAAUGGAUUCUUGGUAAGGUAAAUAAUACUUGACAACGGAGUGUAAUUUCUCUUUGAUAUUACUUAAUGAACUUAGAAAUAAAUUACUUCAUGAUUACUACUUUAAAAAAACAAUAUUUACUUUAUGAUUUGUGAGUAAAGCUUUACCAUGGAUGCAUUUUCUUCCCUAUUAAAAUGUAAGUGAUGUGUUGAUCAGUUUUAUUUGUCAUGUGUGUCCAUUAUGAACAUACAUUUUCGGAUGUUGAGUGUCUUAAUAUAUCUUGUGACUAGUUAUGAACCUGAUAUUUUUGAUCUGGCACUGGGGAAGAUUCUAACUUAUAUGUUUAUUCCUAAAUUCAACAGUAUCAAACACGGCAAUUUUGUGUCUGGCAUAGUUACUUAUCAGCAUAAUUUCUUCAGUACUGUAUUUGACGCAGAAUAUGAUAAAGGGAGAAAAUGAGAAGUUACAUGGAGCAUUUUUUGGAUUCCGGCAUUCAAGUACAACAAAAGUUUAUCGAUUUUUUACAUUAUUCUAGGUUAGGUAUGUUGUAGUAGUGAGGUUUCAUUAUUGGCAGGUAUCCGGUUUUAAAGAUACGGGCUAAAGGAUUUUAGCUCUAGGUAAUUUUGUGUAUGCGCAUGAACUCUAGAGUGGCUCAUUGUAAUAGUGGCUUUGGUUUAUGACUCUCGGUGUCGGUUUAUAUCAUUGGAGACUGAAACUUUCUAAUUUUGAAGUUCUUUAUUGUUGAUUCUUAGUUUUAUUUUUUUAUAUCUAGGCACUUACUUAGUUUCCUACAAAUAACAAUUAUAUAAGGGUAGCGAUUUUGACUCUUCUGUUUUAUGGCAUGUGAACUAUUACUGUAAAUCUUUUAGAUUUUAUGGGGGUGGUAUUGUCUUUGAAUAUGAUGAAUAGAGAUGGGCCAUGGUGGUUGCCGUUAAUAAAAAGAGUGCCAAAAUCACCAAGUGCUUCAGUUAUCUAUUCUUUUGGAGUUAUGUAGUGUGAAGUCGAGUACUUGAGAUUUAAGUUACUGGUCCAUGAUGAGUCCUACUAAUUCCAAGUUCUUCAAUUGCUGAUCACAACCAUUGCCUUAAGAAACGUUCACUAAAAGAACAUUAAGUAACAGGGUUUUGGGAUGCCAGAAUAUUACUGUUACAACAGCGAUACUGGAUUUUACUGUCAUAACAGCAGUUACACUCUACAGACUGUUACAUCCAUUACCAUGUCGUAGUGAUGGUUUCGGUGAGAAUUAUUAAAUACUGUAUAAAUAUUUCUAUUUUACCUAAUUUCUUUUAUCACAACAGCACUACCCUUCUCAAAAUCAUGUGAAAUUGAGGUAGUAAUAGAAAUUUAUAAUUGUCUCCAAUCUACUCAAAGUUUGAACUUGAUAUAGGAUCUAGAGUUUAGAAUGUUGACCAAAAGUUCCAUUUCUUUAAAUAACAAAGGAAACAUUUCUUCUUUACAAAUUUGUACAUGAUUAACUCAAUGAUAAUUUCUAUUUGGAGUUUGGUCAGAUUAUUUGUUGGUUAAAUUCUAAUCUUAACCAUUUGCAACAGUAAUUCUUGGUUGCAAUUAAUAAUCAUAAUAAAUUGUUAAAAGAUAGAAAUCAUAGAGUUAGUAUUGUUUAUUCAUUUUGGCAAAUUUUAAACCAAAAUAGGUAUACAAAAUCAUGUUAAUAAUUAACAAAAGCAUGAGUACCAGUAAAAAUCAUAAUUACAUGAUAAGGCUCAAUGUCAGGAAAGGUCUUCACCGUAAAAUCCACUGGAGCUCCGACCAGAUAAACUUUUUUACCCAACAGUUCCUUUUCACAUCUGUCUCAUUUCAGUGGCCAUGGAUGAUAUGUCGAGGGUUUGGGUGGACUAAUUUUAUUUUCUCUGGUACACAAUAGUGCCUUUUCACAUCUUUCUCAUUUCAGCAGUCAUGGACGAAAUUAUAUUUAAUAAUUUUCCGGUACAACAGUGUUGACUUUGACAUUUUCCUUAAAUAUUUCACCGUCUUUAGUUCUUUUUGUUGGGUUUGGUGAUUUCUAGGGUGAUGGCCGUGGGAGUAGAAUGGUUUCUUUUCAUGAGGUGGCAGCCUGCUAUCAGUUCCUCAUGAUGUAAGUAGUGAUAUUAAAAUUUUGAAUCGGGCAUUUCGUUUCUGUUAGGUCCAGAGGGAAUUGAGUGGAGGUUAAGGUUUUCAAAAUCUUGCUUAGUGAAUGUAUUUGAUGGGAAAUAUUGGGAAUCAGGGGUUUUAAUAGCAUAGAGAUGUAUAAAUGAACGACAACCGAGUGAUGGUGUCCACCCACCAAACAAUCGAUAUGCUGAGAAAAUUGUUCUCUAAAAUAUGGCGGUGCUUGUUCUUAUCAGAUUAUCAGGUGUUUAGUGAGAGAAAG
rnacentral:lncRNA from 1 species